AAAGUCGUAACAAGGUAACCGUAGGUGAACCUGCGGUUGGAUCAUUAACAAAUUUUAAAGACCAUUGAAAAAGCUUCGUGCCUUUCAAUGAUCCUAACUUUAUGUGAACCUAUUAUUGAAUCUUGGUAAUGUUGGAGUGUUUUUUGAUCUUUUCAUUAAGUGAUAAGACACAAAGCUUACCAAAAAUCUAAACAUUAUAAAUAUUAAAAAUUUUGUCUUGAAUUAAAUUAUAUUCUAAUUUAAACAACUUUUGACAACGGAUCUCUAGGCUCUC
rnacentral:misc_RNA from 1 species